CUGGCAUGUUGUAAAAGGGAUGAAGAAAAAGCUUGAAGCUGCAGCCAAUUCCCGUGCAUGUGCUGCCCUAAAACCAUGGGUGCAGCAUAUUUGUAACCACCUUUACUGGUGUAGUGGCAACUCUGAGGGGAAUACAGAGUUUCUGCUUAGCAUGUGGAGAAGUUUGACCCGGCAUGUUAUCAACAUCCAUGACAGCCAUGACGGACCAUACAACCGUUGCCUCCACGGUGACCUUGGCGACCGGAGACCCUGGCUGCAGCCUGGUAAUUGGAGGGCGUGAGAGUACAUUUGCUUUCUAGCCCAUAUUGACUAAUGUGUGCAUGGUGUUCUCACUUUAUACGU